rnacentral:rRNA from 1 species
UACGAAGGGGGCUAGCGUUGUUCGGAUUCACUGGGCGUAAAGGGUGCGUAGGUGGUCGGGUGAGUCUGAUGUGAAAUCUCCGAGCUUAACUCGGAAACUGCAUCGGAUACUAUCCGGCUUGAGGAAUGGAGGGGAGAUUGGAAUUCUCGGUGUAGCAGUGAAAUGCGUAGAUAUCGAGAGGAACACCAGUGGCGAAGGCGGAUCUCUGGACAUUUCCUGACGCUGAGGCACGAAAGCCAGGGAGCAAACGGG